GAACUCUUUCCGUGAUCCUCACCCUCGUGUGCGCUGGGCAGCAAUUAAUGCUGUUGGGCAGUUGUCGACCGAUUUGGGCCCUGACUUGCAAGUUCAGUACCACCAGAGUGUGCUUCCUGCAUUGGCGUCGGCAAUGGAUGAUUUCCAGAAUCCCCGUGUGCAGGCACAUGCAGCAUCAGCAGUUCUGAACUUCAGUGAAAACUGCACACCAGAUAUCUUGACACCUUACUUGGAUGGAAUUGUUACCAAGUUACUUGUAU
rnacentral:misc_RNA from 1 species